rnacentral:piRNA from 1 species
UGCCCUGCCAAGUUUGAAAGGACUUGAAGU